rnacentral:rRNA from 1 species
CACUCCUGCGGGAGGCAGCAGUGGGGAAUAUUGCACAAUGGGCGCAAGCCUGAUGCAGCGACGCCGCGUGGGGGAUGAAGGCCUUCGGGUUGUAAACUCCUUUCGCUAGGGACGAAGCUUUUUUGUGACGGUACCUAGAUAAGAAGCACCGGCUAACUACGUGCCAGCAGCCGCGGUAAUACGUAGGGUGCGAGCGUUGUCCGGAAUUACUGGGCGUAAAGGGCUCGUAGGUGGUUUGUCGCGUCGUCUGUGAAAUUCUGGGGCUUAACUCCGGGCGUGCAGGCGAUACGGGCAUAACUUGAGUGCUGUAGGAGUAACUGGAAUUCCUGGUGUAGCGGUGAAAUGCGCAGAUAUCAGGAGGAACACCGAUGGCGAAGGCAGGUUACUGGGCAGUUACUGACGCUGAGGAGCGAAAGCAUGGGUAGCGAACAGGAUUAGAUACCCCGGUAGUCCCAUGAU